GCCCACCAAGGCGACGAUCAGUAGGGGUUCUGAGAGGAAGGUCCCUCACAUUGGAACUGAGACACGGUCCAAACUCCUACGGGAGGCAGCAGUGAGGAAUAUUGGUCAAUGGGCGAGAGCCUGAACCAGCCAAGUAGCGUGCAGGAUGACGGCCCUAUGGGUUGUAAACUGCUUUUAUAAGGGAAUAAAGUGAGCCUCGUGAGGCUUUUUGCAUGUACCUUAUGAAUAAGGACCGGCUAAUUCCGUGCCAGCAGCCGCGGUAAUACGGAAGGUCCGGGCGUUAUCCGGAUUUAUUGGGUUUAAAGGGAGCGUAGGCCGGAGAUUAAGCGUGUUGUGAAAUGUAGGUGCUCAACAUCUGCACUGCAGCGCGAACUGGUUUCCUUGAGUACGCACAAAGUGGGCGGAAUUCGUGGUGUAGCGGUGAAAUGCUUAGAUAUCACGAAGAACUCCGAUUGCGAAGGCAGCUCACUGGAGCGCAACUGACGCUGAAGCUCGAAAGUGCGGGUAUCGAACAGGAUUAGAUACCCUGGUAGUCCGCACGGUAAACGAUGGAUGCCCGCUGUUGGUCUGAAUAGGUCAGCGGCCAAGCGAAAGCAUUAAGCAUCCCACCUGGGGAGUACGCCGGCAACGGUGAAACUCAAAGGAAUUGACGGGG
rnacentral:rRNA from 1 species